rnacentral:tRNA from 1 species
GCCUUCGUAGUGUAACUGGAAGCACGUCCAACUGACAAUCGGAAGGUCCGGAGUUCAAAUCCCGGAGAUGGCA